AUGUCUGGAACGGAUGCCUUGGUUCCUUCUGAGCCUCUAUCAAAAUGCCUGGGGUUUCUUAAACAGUGGAAGCAAAAGAAGCUUGGAAGUCAUGUCACUUGGUCAAAAGUAUUCUCAUUUGAGGUAGUUGAAAUCUCACAUCAUGAACUAGCAACAAUCCCUAGUUCAGAGGAUCGGGAGAUUUGCAGUGGCCCUCUGAGGAGACAGUAUGACCUACAUUUGAGAACCACAGAAAGUAUGCCAAAAUGCUAUGACAGACAACAUUACUAUAUAUUGUGAUGAUGGUAUGUUCAGUAGUUUUCCGGAAAAGGUUACAAAAUCAAGGAUAGUGCUUUAAAAUUUUACUCUUUUGUUGUAUGGAAAGUAAUUUUCCUAUAUAAUUCAUUAGAAUUACACAUGAUGUGGACUUUUGUUUAAAUGGACUUCCUAUUUUAGAAUGUUUUUUUUAGACAGGGUCUCACUCUGUUGCCCAGGCUGAAGUGUAGUGGUGUGAUCACGGCUCACUGCAGCCUUGACCUCCCAGGCUUAAGCAUCUCAAUCUUCUGAGUCCACCUCAGUCUUCUGAGGAUUUAGGACUACAGGUGCCCACCACUAUGUCCAGCUAAUUUUUAGUGAUGAGGUAGCAGAGAAAUAGGAACACUUUUACACUGUUGGUGAGAAUUAGUUCUAAUUAGUAAAUUAGUUCACCACUGUGGAAGACAGUGUGGUGAUUCCUCAAAGUUUUAGAACUGGAGAUACCAUUUGACCCAGCAAUUCCAUUACUGGGUAUAUACUCAGUAUAUACUUGGAAUAUAAGUCAUUCUAUUAUAAUGAUACAUGUACCUGUAUGUUCACUGAAGCACUACUCACAAUAGCAAAGACAUGGAAUCCACCCAAAUGCCCAUCAAUGAUAGACUGGAUAAAGAAAAUGUGAUACAUACACCAUAGAAUACUAUGCAGUCAUAAAAAGGAGCAAGAUCAUACCCUUUGCAGGGACAUGGAUGAAGCUGGAAGCCAUUAUUCUCAGCAAACUAAUGCAGGGACAGAAAACCAAACACUGCAUAUUCUCAUUUAUAAGUGGGAGCUGAACAAUGAGAACACAGGAAGGGGAAUAAUACACGCCAGGGCCUGUUUGGGGAGAGCAGGGUGUCAGGGGGUAGAGCAUUAGGAAAAAGAGUUAAUGCAUGCUGGGCUUCAUACCUAGAUGACUCUUUUAGUUGGCUCCUGAAUUCCUUUGACAGACACCUCUCUCCCCUUCAUUGCAUGUAUGUGUGGGGUUUUUUUUGUUUUUUUUUUUUGCACUUCCUUUUGUCACUACAAGAUACUUCAGGCUCCUCUUGAGUAGUACCUGCCCCAGUGUUAGAAUUGGCCAGUUGUCCAAGGAGCCCAGGACCCUUUUAUUAGUAAAUACUGUUAGAAACCAGGACCUGGGCUGCAGGUGUGCUCCUCAUUACUGGGUGUUACUGCCUCUAGACCCUCUGCGCUGACAGGGUAAGGCAGUGUGUGUGUACUAACCAGUGUGUAUACAUAUAUCCAUACAUAUUUCUAUGUGUAACAGUGUGUACCCAUAUUAAACUAAACAUGAAUGUAUAUUGAGGUUUCUAGUUUGAAUCUAUUAUCACGUGGAUGAUUCUAGCUUCUUCCCUUGUUUAUCUGUAAACUCCACUCCCAGAGCGCUGGGAUUACAGGCAUGAGCCACCGUGCCUGGCCAUUUUGUCUAUUUUUAAACUGAGUUGUUCGUUUUCUUUUUUUUUUUUUUUUUUUUUGUUUGAGACGGAGUCUCGCUGUGUCGCCCAGGCUGGAGUGCAGUGGCGGGAUCUCAGCUCACUGCAAGCUCUGCCUCCCGGGUUUUUACGCCAUUCUCCUGCCUCAGCCUCCCGAGUAGCCGGGACUACAGGCGCCCGCCACCUCGCCCGGCCAGUUUUUGUAUUUUUAGUAGAGACGGGGUUUCACCGUGUUAGCCAGGAUGGUCUCGAACUCCUGACCUCGUGAUCCGCCCGUCUCGGCCUCCCAAAGUGCUGGGAUUACAGGCUUGAGCCACCGCGCCCGGCGAGUGGUUCGUUUUCUGAGUUUUACGAGUUCUUUUUAUAUUUUGGAUUCAAGUUCUUUAUCUGCUAUAUUUUUUACAAAUAUUUUCUCCCAGUGUGUGGCUUAUCUUUUCAUUCUCUUAACAGUAUCUUUCAUAGAGUAAAUGUUUUAAAUUUUGAUAAAGUCCAAUCUAUCAAUUUUUUUUGUCAUGAAUUGUACCUUUGGUGAUAUAUAUAAAAACUCAUUACCAAAUCUAAAAACUCAUUACCAAAUCCAAGAUCAUCUGUAUUUUCAACUAGAUUUUCUUCUAGAAGUUAUAGUCUUACAUUUCAUUUAGGCCUAUGAUUCAUUUUAAGUUAGUAUUCAUGAAAGGUGUACUGUGUCUAUGGUUUUCUUUUUCUUUUUUCCUAUAGGUGUCCAAUUUCUUCAGCAUCAUUUUCGGCAAAGACUACCGUGCCUCUAAUAAAUUAUCUUUGUUUCUUUAUGAUGGUAUUGGCAAGCAUUUUGUAAUGAAGAUACAAUGACAAUCUGUUAAACCCUUUUUUUUUUUUGAGACCAAGUCUCACUCUGUC
rnacentral:lncRNA from 1 species